UCUUACAACAAGGGGCUGUCACAUUUUGUGUUAGAUAGUGCCCUGUCAGGGCAGCAGGCUAGGCUUUGGGAAAAAGCAGCUGGGGGAUGCAGCUUGCGGAGAAAGGGUAGGGAUGAGGAGGGAGGGAAUGGAGAGGAGUUGUGGAAAAUUGUGUCAGAAUAAGAGGCUUUUCAAACUAAGGCUAGGUGCCUGCUGGAAAUGCUUCUCUAAAACAAACGUGGCAACUACAGAGUCAUGAAUUUAUUUACCAGAAUUCAAGUUUUUCUGAUUGUGUGGUUUCUUGCAUUCUUCUUAAAAUGGUUUGGUGUUGAACCAGCAUCCUGAUGUGUUGUGUUGUCUGGGCCUGUCUCCCAAGGGAGAUAUUUUGGACAGUUACUCCUGAGUAAAUCCCUUGUGUGGUUCUGGAGUUAAGGGCUUGUCUUCACAUGCCAUUGAGAAAUUAUUCAAGUCAGCUGAAGGUGUGAAUUUAAAGUGAAUUGCUUCAACUGCCCUACAUCUCUGAGGCAGAGUAGUUGAGAGUCACUUUGAUUCUGGAAAAGAGCGUCUGAAGAGGGUCUCAAGCAGUUUAAUCAAUCAAUUUUUUUUAAUUUGUAUGGUUUUUGUCUCGUAAGUAAUCCAAAGUGCCUUAUGCAGACAAAGCCUCAAAGUGGAUUAGAUUAUAUAGGAAGGCUGUUCUUAAGGAUUUGGGAGGGUUUAUGUGGAUGCAGAUGUAUUACUAGUCAGGAGUAGCACUUGUAUUUUAAUGUCACUCUGUACUUUCAUCUGAAUUUAAUAUUCAAGUAAGUCCUUCAGAUUCUUCUAACCUUAAGGAGAAAUUAUGAGAGGAAUGGGAACUGACUUUAGUCUUUGCAAUAGACUUUUGAAAGGCUGUUACAGCAUCUUACAGCUGUCAUUAACUGUGUGAUGACUGAGAGUUUCAGUAGAAACUUCUAGUUCACAUGUUUUAUUUUCUAUAGUGAAUGGAAUGCACUUCUUAGCUGGGUAAAGCUGCUGAUUUCUUGUGAGAUUUUCUAAGCUGAUGGGGAGGAGGAUGAAGAAAGUUAAACAGGAGUAUGAGCCCGCACAGCAAAUCUUGGACUUUGAGCCCAAACUGAGAUUCUUCCCAUCCCCUACAAACCUUUUGUUGUAUAUGUGUAUGAAGCAGAGAACUUUGGCAAAAUCUGGAUAGUAGAAAAAGGCUGAAUGUUUUAGUAUUUGGGGCUUUUGUGGCAACCUGCAUAGUUAUGUUUACCUCAAGCCUAAGAGGAGGGGACAGAGGAAUCCAGCACAGGGAGUAUACACUUCAGACUGAACUGUCUGUGCAGAUUAAUGGCUUUGAAUAUUUGCUGCCUAAUUUAGGGGGAAUUUGUUGCAGAAGGUAUGGGUAGGGCUCUCCAUUUUGCUUUUUAAUGUACUGCUACAGUCUUUUUCCCCCUCCUUCACCUUCCUUCCCAUUUUGCUGUUUUAAUAAGAGGAGGAAUGACUGAACUACUGGAUGUGUUUUUCCUUAGUCAUUUUUGGCUGUGCAAAAUAAGUUGCAGUGGCUGAUGUACAGCAAGAAGCCACGUUACUUCCUUUUCAGCUACUGAAUUUAGAUUCUUGCUAAACAUCAUAAGGAAUUUCUGCUCUAACUAAAUGCAUGCAAAUAUGUGCUUCAGGAGCCAUGUGGGACUCCUGAUUAUGCAGAAAAGUCCAUCAUAUGUGUCGAACUGCAGAAUUGCAUCUGUAGACUGCUACCACCACGCUUCUAGGAUACUUAACAGAUCACUGUGUAUGAACAGUUAGCAUAUUUAUUUAAACAAAGUUGUGAAACCAGAAGGUUCUGAAUGUUUUUCCUACUAUUGUGGCAAUUACAAAACCAAAUGUUGUGGUUCUCUUGCUGAAUACAUUAAGUUUUAUUGCCCUGUGAAAGACUUGGUCCUAGAGGCAAAGGCCUGAUUCUGUACUAAACUUUAGUUGACUGCAUGUGCAAAUCCAGGUAGAGCAUAGAUGCUUCCACCUUGGGCAGAUAAGGAAUGUUGUUUCUAAACUCAGAAGGCUUUGCACUGCCUUUCUUCUCUGCUGAGACUGCUGAGGAGCGCUGCAGUUUCUGUGGUAGUGCCACACUGGGACAGGAUGGAGGUCAGUUUGUUUUGCCUUGUUCAUCAAACAAGCAGCAGAUGGCUGGUAGUAUGCAGAAGCUAUUAACCUGGGUGAGGGUCAGGCUGAUGAGGAGGAGCCUGAGUGUAUUUGUUGUCCAGUCUGGUUGACUCACCAAAUUGGGUGACUUGGUAAAUGCCUUGCCUUUAUAGUCAAGGAAUAGGAGAAAUUAAUAUAGAUCUUUUUAAAAAUGCUUUUUGGAGAUGUCUGAAAUCACUAAUCAGUAAACAUACAGGUUUGUUUCCCUUCAUGCACUGUUUUGUUUUGUUGCUUCUGAGGUGCUGAACAUCCUGUUGGCAUCAUGGGAGGGUGUUCAGUACCUUAGAAAUUCAGCCCAUUGCAGGUCAGCUCUUGUUGCAGCUCUUCAGCUGAGACAGCUACCGUGGACUUUGGUAUCACACAAUUGGAAGCUGGUGGUUGCCAUGGGACCACUGAGUGUGACCCAGUUACGUACAGGAUGGACAAACAGAGAGCAGCCCCAAAGAAAUUACGCUUAAUGCUUCAAAAGAGCGUAUUUGUCAUCACGGAGAACUUGAUGCUAUUGUAGGAAGAAAAAUGUGAAUGGAAAACAGAGAUCUCUAUAAGAAGAUACUAAACAGCCCAAAAGCUGAAAUUCUGGUUUAAAGAAAAAAAGACAACUACUACACUAACAGCCCUAUGGCUUCAGGACACAUCUAGAAAUUUCAAAGCAAAAUACAGUAAUUAACGGGACAAUGGAUACAUGAGAAUUAGCACACAUUAGAAGUUAGAAAGUAAGUUAGAGAAUUAACUCUGCAUAUUUUCUACAGCUGAAGUAUGUUAGGAAACAAAUAAUUCCAGUUACUAGAUGGAGAUAAUAAAGUAGCUCAUGCAAGAAAAGUACAAAUAUUUGUUAAUACUGUUCCAUAUUUGGGAAGGUGCAGAAUGUGAUACCACGAAUGCCAAUCCAACAGAGAAUUAAAUUCAUCUUAAUUAAUAAAGGUUUAUUACCUUCUAUGGAUAGAUAUAUGUAAAUCAGCAGUGCUAUGACUUGAUUGUUUUAAAGAGCUUGCUGAAAAGUCUGCAGGCCUGCAGGCAAUUUUUAAUAACUGCUGGUAUUGAGGGUCUUAAAAUUAACUGUGCCGGAGUAGACAAGGGAAGGAUGGGUGACCGAUUUAACCAUAUUCCAGCUAGCUUGACAUUAAUCCUCAUCAAAAUACUGGAAAAGUUAAUGCGGUAUUCAAUUGAUAAAACGUUAGACAGAUUACUAUCAGUCUGUAUCACUUCAAGGGAAAUAUGUCCUAGCAAACAUGGUGACAUGCUGGAAACUUAAGUUUUACUUGAGAGAGAGGCCUGCAUGGGAUGUAGUAAAGCUAUGUCUUCAAAAGGCAUCUGAUGCAGGGGCAGGGAGACAAUCCAACUCUUGCGGUCCCCUACUACUCCGUAGCUCCUCUCAAGUGCUACCUAUAGUUCCCUUUCUUGGCAACAGCAGAGGUAGUCAGUUAGGACUUUGACAUACCUUUGGGACUCCGGUCCUGACACGUUAGUGCUAUGUGGUAUUGCAAAAGUAAACGAAUUAAGAACUGACUAACUGAUGUUUAAAAGUUAGUCAUUGGUGGUGAAUCAUUAUCAAAUGGGAAUCCUUCUAGAAAUCUGUUUUAAGUAUUGAGGUGAGGCCAGAUUCCAUUGAACUUUUUCAUCAAGUACCUGGAGACAAGGACAGGAUCUGUACUGAUACAAUUGGUAGGCCAUGUCAUGUGGUAAGCAAGGACAAGGCAGCUUGUACAGAGUAAUUUGGGUAUCCUGGUGAGCUGUAUCAAUCAAAAGUGCAUUUUAAUAUAGUCUGAUGCAAGCUCGUGGGGCCUGCAGGUGUUACACUUCAACGUAGUGACAGAAUAGCAGCUUGGGGAGAAGACUGCUUGGGGGUACAGUGAGUAAACAACUGGACAUGCCUGCCCUCUUGCAGAGGUAUGUAAGUUUGGGUGUGUAAGCAGGAGGGGCAACAGGCAAGAUAAGGUGAAUUGUGUAUGAUUCUGGGGUUGUGAGCAACCUGUUGAAAACAGGAGUGAGUUCAGGAAAGAGUCAGAGGAGAUAUCUGAAGGCUGGGUGGUGUUCAGGUACCACAAGGAGAGCCUGAAAAGCUCAAUCUGUUGCUGGAUCUGUUGUUUCUUGAUAGAUAAAUGGGGUGACUUGAUAAUUGGCGGGGAAGCAUCUUCUGAGGGAGAGCACACUGGAGGCUAAAAGGCUCACAGAAACAGGCGUAACGUGGAACUGAUGGCUGGGAGCUGAAAUCAGGCAAUUGGAAAGAAGACGUGCAUUUGUAAUGGUGCAUCUGAAGAAGUGACAAGGAAAAGUAGAAUGGAAUGAAGGCGUACAUGCUGAUCUACAAACAGAAUAUACAUGGAUCAGAGUAACAAACUCGUUUUGAGAAUUCAGCUUUUCAGUGAUCAUACUUGUACUGUGUCCCUCAGUUGUAUUUAAAGUAAUUGAUCUGCAGAGAAAAUGCACGGUUUUAUUUGAGGAUUGAUGUCUUCAGAAGUGGAGAGAGGAAUGGAAUGGAGCAAAGAGAUUUAAGAUGUGGAAGGAAGAAGGUCUAGCUGCCAUUUUUUGUCAAGCAGAAGUCUCCAAUUUCCUUUAUUAACUACCUUCUGAUACUUGUUUUGGAGAAAGCUUCUCUCUAUUGAGAGUUACAACUGUUUCAACCUUCAUUACUUUUCUUUUCCUUUUUUUCCUCCCAAGGUUACAUGCAGGCGCACACAGGCACACCCGCAACUUUAUUUGUGCAUGAUAAUUGCAUCUGGUAGAUACUAAUGGACAGAAAUCAUUGACGAGGAGGUAUAGGUACAAGCAUAAUGACUGUGAGGGUUGUUUCACUGCUUCUUCCCUUUCAUUGUUUCCAAGGACUGGGAGUAGCUGCUCAGCCUUGCUGUCAGUGUCUACCUGAGUAUGCUCCUGAGAUGUCACUUGAAGAGCAGAGAGCUCUUCUCUGUGUGUCACUGUUUGUGUCCACACAGAAACACAUGUACAUACUCAAAGAAAACCACUCAGCUCCUGGAUGUGUCUUGUGACCCAUGUCUUUUCACUGUCCAAGAGUCUUGGAAAGGAAUCUGCAGAAUUGCAAAGAGGAGGAGGGAAGUCUUAAACAAGAACAUCCGAAGAAUGGUAAUGGAAUAAAAGUUUUGAAACUUGAGCAAAUGCAAAAGAUCAAGCAUUUUAGCAUCUCUGUCCUUGUAGGUGGGAAUGGUUAUUUUGUGGUCAUGCCAUUCGUGGUCCAAAGAUGGGACCAGUGAGUGGACUUCCUUUGAAGCUCUGUGGAAGGAUAAAAGUAACAGUUCAGUCCUACAUCCCUGGGCUGCCUGUCUAGCUUAAUAUAGCACUAAUCUGGCAAAUCAUCAAGCAGGGAUGCCAGACCUUUCAACAGAGGAAAAUACAAUGUUAAAGUCAUAGAUGCUAUGAAUUAGCUCUUAAGAGCUGCAUCAAGAAGCACAGUUGGUAAGUGUGGUAUUUUGUGGCUCUUGUGUGAGUGCCAUAUUUUUCCCUGUGUGCAGUCAUUCCAACACAAGUUAAAUUCUUUGUUGUAGAAAAAGCUAAAUAUUUUGGAAUGCUGAGUCUGAAACACAGAUGAUAUACUGCAGCAAAAGACUCCUGUGGGAUUUUUUUACGAGAUGGAUUUUAUUUGUUAAAUGAGUUUUCAGUAGUUCUUCAGUACAUGCUAUUGUAUUGCUUGCGUGAUGUCUUACAAUGUCACUGGUCUGAUCUGGACUGUGAUGACUGAAUAAAUUGCAUCAUUUGCUAACUGUGGAAAGAUGGCUUGAUCCAUAAGACACAUUUGUGUAUAUGUGAGUUUUGUAAUGUAAUUGUAAAUCAUAAAUUAAAGAUGAUCAGUUAAUGCCAAAUACGAGCUGUAUUCGUAGCUCUUGGUGUUCUUGUCUGCCCACAGGAGUUUCAAGAGUCAAAGGGGAUCAUAGAGGAAACUAAGCUGCUUUUGUACUUUGUUUGAGGGGGGGACAGUAAUGAAAUAAGUUAUGUAGUCUAAGACAUCUUGAAAAUGGAGACUUUUAAGUGGUCUUUGGGCUUCUACCAAGGAACAUGCUGCUGGCAUUUUGGUUUUGUGCAUUAGAGGAAAGAAAACACUAGAAAUCCCCCGGCUUUCAUCUAUAGAGAAAUAACUGCACUUUGCUGCUAUGUUUUGGCCGUAUUGGUUUUUGGCAUGGUUGUGGUAAUUUAUAGUUUUAUAUCCUGUGGGUUUUCAGUGACUUAAAUUGCUAAGAAGAAAUAGUUUGUCCUGUGGUCGUUGGUGAGAUGGUGUUACAGUUGGCAGGGAGACCUUGUCUAGGAGUUGGAGGAUCAGACCUGUAGUCUUUUUUGGCUUUGACAGUGACAGCUGUCUCGGAGGAGGACUGGAGAAGACUAUAGUAGCUGGCUGUGGUGACAUAACCUGCUUGAUUGUGCCUUGCUGACCUUUGCCUUGGACUAUAGAGGUGUAGAGCUCCUAAUUCAAAAGCUUAAAUGCAAGUCUCACCUGGAAAGUUUGAGUAUUUCAUGUUAAUCUGCUUAUGCUUUUGCUUAUUGCUGAUAAACUUUCAUUUUGAGUCUGUGUUACAGUGAGGGGGUAGAAGGAUCUUUAUUCAGAUCUCUUCAAAUUGCAGCUAUUCACAAACAGCAACUCAGAAGCAAGAAAUCAUUUUAUGUAACUGGAUAAUUUCAAGUGUGCCAUCAUCACACAAUUUUUUUUUUGUUAACUGAACGCAGUAAAGAUUCCCUAAUAAAUGAGUCACAACAGCAUUACUGCUCUUAUUUAUAUAACUUGAGAUCUUGUAGUCUAAGCUUGUUGGCCUUUACCUCCAUGAGUGUUUUAAUUUUUGGUGGGGGUUUUGUUUUAAAGCCACUUCAUGAUUACUCAUUUUGUUUGUUACUUGUACAUAUACAGCCAGUUGUAUCUUCUCCCUUUAGGGGUGGAAGUAAAGCUUUAUUACAACUCACUUCUCUUAAUUUGACAAAGCAAGUAUCAGUGAAUAUGGCUAGCUUCAGCAAGAAAGUCUAUGCAGAGCACUGAGAAGCGUUAUCCCCAGAUUAACUGAAUGUGGACACCUUAGGUACACUGCCAGAGGAAGAGUUGCAAUAACUGGAGAGAAAUAGUUUUAUUUGUGAAUUGUACACCCACGUGGAAAUAGCAACAUUUCCUGCUAACUUAUAUCCUUCAAUGAUAUCUUUGUUAAAUCACUUUUCAGAAUAGAGUCACAUAUUAAGGAAUAAUUCCAACACACUGCUUACACUAGCAAACAUUUUUAAGGAUGUCUUUACUUUGUGACUUUUCCUGUGGUCAAAGUGUUGCUAAUGUAGAAGAUAAAAGGAGAUUUAUUCCUGUUUCUAGCCCACACCAUAGACUUAAAGGUUCUUCCUUUUAUAACUGGUCAAGCUUGAAACUUUGCCUUCCUCAAACACUCUGCUGUGUUGUAGAGUAUGAAAUCUGAUGCAAUUCAACUGAAUUUUUGGGCUGUAAUCUUUUUGAGACAGGAUUACACAAUGCAUAAUGCAGUAAGGCUUUGACAUAGAGUAGGAAAUUGAACCUUUUAUGCAAUAUAAAUAUCAAGUGCUAGCAUAGCCUAGCUCUUUGUCCAAAAAUUGCUUUUUUUUUUGUUUGUUUGAAUAUGAAGGAACUCUGACCAAGACCCAGGAGCUGAGUGCUACACAAGGAGCAUGGAGCAUAGAGCAUACAAUGCAAGUAUUGUGAAAGGUAGUGGCAUCUGAUGCAUGACAUGAUGAGACAGAGGGAGGAUGCCCCUAGUGAGUCAGGAGCAGGAUUACCAUUUGUAUGUCAUACAAAGAAUGUUUUAACCCAACAGUAGCUCUGCCACUCGUAACAGAGCAAGCAGCACAAUAAGCCAUUAGCCCCAUUUGGGGACAAGGCUGCAACUUUCUGUUAAGCCUAAAGAAUGAUGUCUGUCUGACUGCCAGCCAGCUGUUGUACUGGCUCUUCCCUUUCUUGGCUUCAAACCCAGAAUAACAGCCAUCUCAUGUCUGCUUACAUGUGGUGAGCAAGGAUCCAACUUUGAUAUUUCUGCAAAGGCCUUGUGAUCCAAGACCAUUUCAAUGUGAACAUGGAUAUGGCUGUGUCCAUGUGCAAAAAUUUACAGCCUACAGCAGUAGCACAUCACCUGCCUUCUUGAAGUCACCAUUUCGGGUCUCUCCUGCAAGGUCAAUUGGUGCUGUGUGUGGAUAUCCCAAACUUUGUGACGAGGGCUGGUGAAGGGUUGUUCACUUUGGCUUCCUAAAGCAAGUCUGUUCUUGGGAAACUGAAACCAGUGAAGGCUUAAAAGAAUAGUUUAAUUCUGUUAAACCAAAGUUUCUUGGUGGUGUUAUAUCUAAGAGAAAGGGUUUUUAUUGUUAGCCUUUGAGGAACUUGAAAUGGAGAUUAGAAUUGCUGUUUAGCCUAAAAGGGAACAAAAACUAUCAUAGAGUUCUGGGCCUUGAUAAGCUUUUUCUUAUUUAAAAUAAUGUACCUGAGGCAUCAUUUGGCAGGCAAAAUUCUUGGUCAAAGACAGGCUGUUACAAAACUUUAUAAUAAAUUAAAUGGAUGGUUUCGUUCAUGUUUUGGUCUGGUCAUGACAAAUCGUAAACUCUUAACUGACGGUUUAUGGGAAUGUAGUCAUAUGUAUAUUAUUGCUGUACACCCACACGCACAGGCAGUAGUCCAAGUGUGCAGAUGAGAUAACAGGAGCAUAUAAAUAAAGCGGUUGGCUAGUUGUCCUAACAUUCUUGAGUAGAUCCUUGUUAAAAUAGUGCCAGUCAAACUUAUGAAUAGAUCUGGUGUAUCGAAGAUUACUCACAUUCAGCUAUGACACGAUAGAGGUCACUGUGUAGGCAAUUUGUGGCCAUUUUGUGUUUUUGUUUCGUGUUGAGUCAACCAUUUGAAAUGCAAACCGAGAGCUCAAGUAAUCCCUGCUGUCCCCUGAUAGUUGCACGUUGCCUCCAGGCUACCCUCUUCCAAGAGAGGGAUGUUUGCAGGCCCAUAGGGCCAUGCCACCUGAUCACUGGGGGGUGUGAGGAGGUCUCUGUAUGCCUGUGGGAGAGGAACACUGUAGUUGUUCUCUCUCCCACCACCACCGCUGCACUAGAACUGAUGUUUUCUGGCGCUCUUAGAAGAUAAAAGUGAUAUUUGCUCUGUUGUUCGUGCUUCAUGUAUGUGAGUAGGUGAUGCGCUGUCCAUCACACAUGCCUAUAGAAAUACUGCUGGAAAUGAUGGUAAAGAACAAUUUGCCUUAGGACAGGUCCUGAGUCUCCACCUUGUUCUGCCCAGGACACCAGGACAGUAAGGGGGGCUGGAUUGCACCUCUUUCCCAAAGCCUUGCAUUAUGCUUGGUGGAAGGCACAAUGAGAGCCAGGACUCUGAAAUCAGUGGUAGUGUACUUGCACAAGCUCAGACUUUCCAUUUCCCCUGUUUUUUGAAAUGUUAGCAUGCUGGUGGAAGGGCUAGAAGAUGAUUUAGAAGGACGGGACCCUUCUUCUCCCAGGUCAGUAUGAUGCUAGUGCCGUGUUGUGAACUUGCCUUGCUGGUUACCCCUGCUUGCACAGAAACUCGUGGGGACCUGACUGGGGCCUGCUGGAGGGAUGUGAAAAUUACCUGGCUUGGCUGUGUAUUGAAACAAUGGCAACAACAAAACCUAACUCUUUUCUUUUCCUCUAGUCAGAGGGCAACUCUCCUUUUAUUUCUAUAGCAGCUGGGAGGUGGCUAUUGUGCUGCUUUAAGUGAUGAGUAAUUUGCCAAAACAAGUUCAAAUGGCAAGCACCUGGGGUAAGGGAAAGCUGCCUCUGGACCGAUUUCCCCAUUUGGCAAGCAGAUAGCACGUUGACUGUAAAAGUCAGACAGACAGUGACAUGGUACAUGACUGCAUGUCUGUGAAGGUGGCUGCCAAAAAUGUUAUUGCGAGUGCAUGGGGAAGGCUGUAGCAAUCAUGGCAAGGUGAUAAGGGCUGGAGCAGGAGUGGCAUCUGUCCCUAGAUGAGAUUGAAUAAAAUGUCUCCUUUCUAUAUUUUUAUUUCAUUUAUUUGAGGUUAAGUGAAGUACAUACUCGGAAGGCUUCACUGUCUGUUUUAAAACAGAUUUGACUGGACAGGAAAGCUUCAUUGUUUUACUG